rnacentral:rRNA from 1 species
GGCAGGCCUAACACAUGCAAGUCGAGCGGUAGAGAGAAGCUUGCUUCUCUUGAGAGCGGCGGACGGGUGAGUAAUGCCUAGGAAUCUGCCUGGUAGUGGGGGAUAACGUUCGGAAACGGACGCUAAUACCGCAUACGUCCUACCGGAGAAAGCAGGGGACCUUCGGGCCUUGCGCUAUCAGAUGAGCCUAGGUCGGAUUAGCUAGUUGGUGAGGUAAUGGCUCACCAAGGCGACGAUCCGUAACUGGUCUGAGAGGAUGAUCAGUCACACUGGAACUGAGACACGGUCCAGACUCCUACGGGAGGCAGCAGUGGGGAAUAUUGGACAAUGGGCGAAAGCCUGAUCCAGCCAUGCCGCGUGUGUGAAGAAGGUCUUCGGAUUGUAAAGCACUUUAAGUUGGGAGGAAGGGCAGUUACCUAAUACGUGAUUGUUUUGACGUUACCGACAGAAUAAGCACCGGCUAACUCUGUGCCAGCAGCCGCGGUAAUACAGAGGGUGCAAGCGUUAAUCGGAAUUACUGGGCGUAAAGCGCGCGUAGGUGGUUUGUUAAGUUGGAUGUGAAAUCCCCGGGCUCAACCUGGGAACUGCAUUCAAAACUGACUGACUAGAGUAUGGUAGAGGGUGGUGGAAUUUCCUGUGUAGCGGUGAAAUGCGUAGAUAUAGGAAGGAACACCAGUGGCGAAGGCGACCACCUGGACUGAUACUGACACUGAGGUGCGAAAGCGUGGGGAGCAAACA